GACGAACGCUGGCGGCGUGCUUAACACAUGCAAGUCGAACGGAAAGGCCAUGCUCUUGUGGGGUGCUCGAGUGGCGAACGGGUGAGUAACACGUGAGUAACCUGCCCUUGACUUUGGGAUAACUUCAGGAAACUGGGGCUAAUACCGGAUAGGAGCUCCUGAUGCAUGGUGGGGGUUGGAAAGUUUCGGCGGUUGGGGAUGGACUCGCGGCUUAUCAGCUUGUUGGUGGGGUAGUGGCUUACCAAGGCUUUGACGGGUAGCCGGCCUGAGAGGGUGACCGGCCACAUUGGGACUGAGAUACGGCCCAGACUCCUACGGGAGGCAGCAGUGGGGAAUAUUGCACAAUGGGCGGAAGCCUGAUGCAGCAACGCCGCGUGCGGGAUGACGGCCUUCGGGUUGUAAACCGCUUUCGCCUGUGACGAAGCGUGAGUGACGGUAAUGGGUAAAGAAGCACCGGCUAACUACGUG
rnacentral:rRNA from 1 species